CACUCUUAACCCAAUAUCCACCCUGGUGCACACUUGUAGGCAUUCUUUUGCCUAUGUUCCUUUACAAACAACUAUUGAUGUAUUUGAAUGCUAUUUGAUAAAUUGUAAUACAACUUUCAACAAUGGAUCUCUUGGUUCUCACAUCGAUGAAGAACGCAGCGAAUUGUGAUAUGUAAUGUGAAUUGCAGAAUUCAGUGAAUCAUCGAAUCUUUGAACGCACAUUGCACCCUCUGGUAUUCCGGAGGGUAUGCCUGUUUGAGUGUCAUUAAUAUCUCAGCCCAGACAGGUUUGACAGCCUGUUCUGUUGCUUGGAUGUUGGAGGCUUGCUGGCUUUUUCAAGUCAGCUCCUUUUAAAUUCAUUAGCAGAAAUGAUAGGCAAAACUGGCUUCAGUUUGAUAAAAUACUUUAUCUGUACUGCUGUUGCUAGUGAAAAUACCUAACAUAUUUCAGCUUCCAAUUGUCCCCAUGUGGGACUGUCUUCUUGAAGGCAUACCAAUUUGACACUUGACCUCAAAUCAGGUAGGACUACCCGCUGAACUUAAGCAUAUCAAUAAGCGGAGGAAAAGAAACUAACAAGGAUUCCCCCAGUAACUGCGAGUGAAGAGGGAAGAGCUCAAAUUUAGAAUCUGGCAGUCAUAGGCUGUCUGAGUUGUAAAUUAGAGAAGUGUUAUCCGCGCUGGCUGUGCAUAAGUCUCUUGG
rnacentral:rRNA from 1 species